GAAGUACUCCAUCCGUCCGAAAAAACUUGUCAUCAAAAUGGACAAAAAGAGGUGUAUCUAGAACUAAAAAGAUACAUCCCCUUUUAUUCAUUUUGAUGACAAGUAUUUCCGGACGGAGGGAGUAGUAC
rfam:Triticum aestivum genome assembly, contig: Triticum_aestivum_CS42_TGACv1_scaffold_474867_6AL